AAGUCGUAACAAGGUUUCCGUAGGUGAACCUGCGUAUCCAAACGUUAAACCCCCCUGUGAACCUUCAGUGUACUCGUACGUCCGUUAGAAAAAGCAGCAAUCCCUGGUAAAUCAUCGCCGAACAGUUUUCGAUUCAGGGACGUCUGCAAGGAGCGUGCAUGUUGUGCGAGCAAGUGGCCUGGCAUCCCCAAGCAGUUAGUGUCUGAAAGUGUCAUUAACUGUGUAAGGAUGACGCAGUCACGAUCGUUGGAGGCCCACACGGCCGACGACCGGGUCACUGGGCGCAAGCCCCCCUAUAACAAACGCUGCUAAGCGCGGCCGCGAUAAUACGCAGUCGACCAAAAACCGAACAACUGUUAACAAUGGAUAUCUUGGUUCUC
rnacentral:misc_RNA from 1 species